GGCGGACGGUUGAGUAACGCGUGGGAACGUGCCCUCUGGUUCGGAAUAACUCAGGGAAACUUGAGCUAAUACCGGAUACGCCCUUUUGGGGAAAGGCUUGCUGCCGGAGGAUCGGCCCGCGUCUGAUUAGCUAGUUGGUGAGGUAACGGCUCACCAAGGCGACGAUCAGUAGCUGGUCUGAGAGGAUGAUCAGCCACACUGGGACUGAGACACGGCCCAGACUCCUACGGGAGGCAGCAGUGGGGAAUAUUGGACAAUGGGCGCAAGCCUGAUCCAGCCAUGCCGCGUGAGUGAUGAAGGCCUUANGGUUGUAAAGCUCUUUUAUCCGGGACGAUAAUGACGGUACCGGAGGAAUAAGCCCCGGCUAACUUCGUGCCAGCAGCCGCGGUAAUACGAAG
rnacentral:rRNA from 1 species